AUCACUGAAGGGCAGGCGGGGGCCACUGCGGGGAGAGACCCAGUACUCGCUCUCGAGGACAGCUGGGUGAGGGCCUGCCCACAGGAGAGCUAUGAAGUGGCCUUGGGCAAGCUCCUUCAUCGUGGGGCCUCAGGUUCCCCGCCUGUAAAAGGGAAGGGGUUCGGCCGGAUCCUGUUUUGUAGCAGAGUGUAGCCAAGAUCCUGGGUGAUGACCAUAGGUAAUUGGUUUGAUGCCUAGAGAGGAGCCGAGUUGUACAACCUUUGUCCCCGUGCACAGGAAUCGUCCUGCCUUUGAGGUGUGCAGGCUGGCCUGCUGGCGAUCUAAGCCAGGCCACCGGCUCCGGAUGAAAGGGCUGGUGAGAAUAGCCCGGGCUGGGUUUGUGGACGCUCUCACUUCUGUUUGCUACCGAACAAACAGCACACAGCAGGCAGGCAAUGCCAGGGACGCACACAGAGCAGGCUCCAGGGCGCGAGCACGGGGCCCUGGGCAUCUUUACUUUCGAAGUGUGCCCGAAGUUCAGAACUCAACAAAUCCUGCCCGAAGCGGGGAAUCUGGCAGGUCAGAAGGCCCAGAGCUGUAGGUCUGCUGCCUUUUCUGUAAACCUUGUAUUGAAGUAUCAUAUGCUUACAGAGCAGGUCAUGAAUACCAAGUGUCCAUUCUGAUGGAAUUUCACAAAGCGUGAAUACACCUGCGUGGCCAGCACUGCGAUCAAGAAAUAGAACAUGCCUGGCAUCCCGGAGACCUCGGUUCUCCUUUGUGUCUGGCUUCUUUCUCUCUGCAGAAAGUCCAACUUUGGACUUCUCUGCUCCUCAUUGUUGCAGAGUGUUCCGUUGUAUGGCCCUGACUGUCCCACCUCAGGCUGGCACUGGCACUCAGGGGUCUCCCUGUCACCUGCGAGGCAAUUCUUGCUGCCCUGACGUUACAUUCUUCUGCAUUCUACCUCUUCGUGUGCCACCACGUUCAUCGUAGCCUGAGCAUGAUCUAUCACAGGCAGCAAAACCGUGAGAGCAAGGAGGCGGAGGCCAGAGCCCUGAGUCGGGCCUGCUAAAAGCCACACCAGCACUGCUUGUGGGAGGUGGGGGUGACGUGGAGGGGUGGGGGAGAGCACGGUGCCAGAACAGGCCGGCCUGGGCUCCUCUGCCACCACGAAGGUGGGUGGCCAGGGUCCCUCAGUGUCACUGUGAUUAUUAUGCAGGGGGUGACAUCACUGGGAUGUCAGAUUUCUGGCCACCUGGCAAAGGUAGGAGAGGAUGAGUUGACAGGAGGGCCACACAGGCUACUGUGGCCCCAAGUGUGCCGAUGGCUGCUGGGACAGAGAGGCAAUCGGAUGGUUAGGACUGGUGCACGGACAGGAUGGGAAGGCAAAGAGAAGGAAUAAGAAGGGGAGUUGCCAAGGUGCAGCUAUCUGCAGAAAGUGGGGAGUCCUGCAUGGGGGCCUUCUGAACAGGGUGCCCCCCGCUCCUUCCCUGGAGCCCCUCCUUGUCAGGCACAGUACACGCCCACAGGCUGCGUUCAUGAAGACAGGUCUGAAUUCCUAGGACAGGACCUCUAGAUGGAAGGAGACAAUGUCCCUCCCACCUGCCCACCUGAUGGGGCCUCAUGUGACCCCUAGGUCCUACAAGCUGUCGGGCUGCUGCAGGGUCUUGGCUGUUGCUCUGUAGGGCCUCGGGAAGGAGGCAGGGUUGAGUCCAUUAGCUCGGUGCUGUUCUCUGGAGAGCGUGCAGGGGGAUUAUGGGCUGCUUUGCCGCCUCCCGACUUUCGGGGACCACCCCUUUGGGACUGGAUCCAAGAAGUGAGCGAUACCAUUAUUAGACGUGAUGCACACGGGACCCUGUGCACUUGUGGCCCUCUCCUCCCUCGGGAUGUGUGAGAUCUGGGAGCUGGUGCAGGUGUUGGAUGAAUGGGACGCCUGGCUUCUUGGACACCCCUGGGGCAUGAAAACACUGUAAAGCCUCCUGAGGCCUCAUCUGCCUGGAAAUAAUCCUGCAGCGCAAAUUUUCCAGAACCCUGCCUCUUCCCCAGCCACAGAGCCCAGGCAUUUUGCUUCCUGAUCCCACAAAUAUACUUGGGAGUUUCA